CACGUUUCAACAGCAAUAUUGGCUUUCGUGUGGUUCACGUGUGUGCAUCGUACACGCGAAGUGUCCUUUCUCGCUUUCCGUCAACAUGUUCUUGGUACCGGAAGUAGCACGGACCUCUAUGCACAGGACUGGAUCAGGAGGAAACUAGCGUCUGUAAAAACCCUCGCUGUCCUCCGAGCGGCGCGUGGAGGCCCAGAGCCUCCAGUGACAACAAUCAAAUCACACGACAUUUGUGUCUUACUAUGUACGGUAAAAGUGAUCAACUUUUAGAUAUAUUACUAUUAAAAAGGGCUACCCGAUAUAAAAAUAAAAAAAA